AGUGAACGCUGGCGGUAGGCCUAACACAUGCAAGUCGAACGGCAGCACAGUAAGAGCUUGCUCUUACGGGUGGCGAGUGGCGUACGGGUGAGGAAUACAUCGGAAUCUACUUUUUCGUGUGUGAUAACGUAGGGAAACUUACGCUAAUACCGCAUACGACCUACGGGUGAAAGCAGUGGAUCUUCGGACCUUGCGCGUUUGAAUGAGCCGAUGUCGGUUUAGCUAGUUGGCGGGGUAAAGUCCCACCAAGGCGACGAUGCGUAGCUUGUCUGAGAGGAUGAUCAGACAAAAGGGAACAGAGACACGGAAAAGAGGCCUACGGGAGGAAGCAGUGGGGAAUAUUGGACAAUGGGCGCAAGCCUGAUCAAGCAAUACCGAGUGGGUGAAGAAGGCCUUCGGGUUGUAAAGCCGUUUUGUUGGGAAAGAAAAGCAGCAGGUUAAUACCCCGAUGUUCUGACGGUACCAAAAGAAUAAGCACCGGCUAACUUCGUG
rnacentral:rRNA from 1 species